UACGUAGGGCGCAAGCGUUAUCCGGAAUUAUUGGGCGUAAAGAGCUCGUAGGCGGUUUGUCGCGUCUGCCGUGAAAGUCCAGGGCUCAACCCUGGAAUGCCGGUGGAUACUGUCGGGCUAGAGUUCGGAAGAGGCAAGUGGAAUUCCUGGUGUAGCGGUGGAAUGCGCAGAUAUCAGGAGGAACACCUAUAGCGAAGGCAGCUUGCUGGGACGACACUGACGCUGAGGCGCGAAAGCGUGGGGAGCGAACAGG
rnacentral:rRNA from 1 species